rnacentral:rRNA from 1 species
CUGCAUGGCUGUCGUCAGCUCGUGUCGUGAAAUGUUGGGUUAAGUCCCGCAACGAGCGCAACCCUUGUCAUUAGUUGCUACGAAAGGGCACUCUAAUGAGACUGCCGGUGACAAACCGGAGGAAGGUGGGGAUGACGUCAAGUCCUCAUGGCCCUUAUGGGUAGGGCUUCACACGUCAUACAAUGGUCGGGACAGAGGGUCGCCAACCCGCGAGGGGGAGCCAAUCCCAGAAACCCGAUCGUAGUCCGGAUCGCAGUCUGCAACUCGACUGCGUGAAGUCGGAAUCGCUAGUAAUCGCGGAUCAGCAUGUCGCGGUGAAUACGUUCCCGGGUCUUGUACACACCGCCCGUCACACCAUGGGAGUGGGUUUUACCAGAAGUAGUUAGCCUAGCCGCAAGG